GUGCUCUCUUCUGCAGCGCUUAUACUAAAAUUGAAACAAUACAGAGAAGUUUAACAUAGCCCUGGAGCAAAGAUGACAGGUGAGUUCAUGAAGUAUUUCACAUUUAA